ensembl:lncRNA
GGCUGCACAGUCAUAGAUGUCCAACCAGCAACAUAUUUCCAGCUCUUGCCAUGCAAACUCAGUCAAAUCUUGAAUCCAGAAUGCAGACCGCAUCUGUGUCAUGCUAAAAUGCAUGCCGGUCCUCUGCACCCAGGGAUUAGUCAAAGAAUAUUAAGUAUGGAUGCAAUUCCCAUUACAAACCUCAUGAAAUAUGCAUAACCAAUAUGAAUUAUAAAGAGAAAGUCUUCCGAAUGUAUCACAGAGCAGGACUGGAGGUCAUUAUGUGGUCUGUUAACGUUUCAUAUCGCCGCUUAAAGUUGUAUUUGAACUUUGAGUGGCUUGGCCCCCCCACCACAGCCCUGCCAGUGUGUUUGGCAGGCGUCGCUUAGCCUGCACAGCUGUCUGCAGUCAAGCCUCUGUUAGCGGUUUGCAUAUGGACAUCAGUAAUGGCUGAAGAAAAAUGGAAUGUAACAUUUACAUUUUCAACAUGACUUCCAGUUGAAAGGGCACGCUGGCGUGUUUGGCUGCUGCUCCUCUCUCCCGUUUAUUUUAAGUAGUUUCUUUGGCUAUGAGCCAGUGAAGACUAUCUAUGUCUUUUUAUUCUACCUUGAUGUGGAAUCAUGCUUCGCAUGCUGGAUUACUGCUUUUAUCUCUGAGUGCUGUUUACUGGAAUUUACUCUUCUGUUGCCUGGCCCAGGACGUACACCGCUUACACCUCUGUGACGCUGCUGUGUGGACCCUCCCCGAAUGGCUCUCAGGUCCUCUGGAUUUGGUGAAGGUGACGUGUCAGUCACUCGUGGUGAUGUGAUGUGACGUGUCAUCGCCGCAGGUGCCGGUGCACUUGUCACAGCCUCAGCUGGCUCGCUCCAUUAGUGUCUGCCAGAUCUCGACGCCGCCGCCACACACCACCUUUUCAGACCAGUCGUGCCUCGUUUUUCCAACUUAAGCCUGAGGCAGAGCACUGCCUGUAUGCGCCUCAUAUAUGAUGGACACCAAAGCUGUCUUCUGUAGUAGUCGCCAUUUACAGAACAGCGCACAAGGGCACAGUGUCGUCUGAGGAGGUGGGCUGAAGAAAGACAAUAAGGAUAAGCCUGACCUCAAGCUUUUUCCACAUUUAUCCUUUUCCCCCUGUGUGGCCUUUACAAUAUUCCAAAAUUCAUUUUUCUCAGGGCACAUAUUCUCCAA